GACGAACGCUGGCGGCGUGCUUAACACAUGCAAGUCGAACGGAAAGGCCCUGCUUUUGUGGGGUGCUCGAGUGGCGAACGGGUGAGUAACACGUGAGUAACCUGCCCUUGACUUUGGGAUAACUUCAGGAAACUGGGGCUAAUACCGGAUAGGAGCUCCUGCUGCAUGGUGGGGGUUGGAAAGUUUCGGCGGUUGGGGUUGGACUCGCGGCUUAUUAGCUUGUUGGUGGGGUAGUGGCUUACCAAGGCCUUGACGGGUAGCCGGCCUGAGAGGGUGACAGGGCACAGUGGGACUGAGAUACGGCCCAGACGCCUACGGGAGGCAUCAGUGGGAAAUAUUGCACAAUGGGCGGAAGCCGGAUGCAGCAACGCCGCGUGCGGGAUGACGGCCGUCGGGUUGUAAACCGCUUUCGCCUGUGACGAAGCGUGAGUGACGGUAAUGGAUAAAGAAGCACCGGCUAACUACGUG
rnacentral:rRNA from 1 species